GGUAGAGAUCCCGCGAGCUUCCACUGGUCCGCAGCGACACCGGCAACCCCCUGGACAGCGAACAGCGACGAGAGGAGGCCCUAACGCCCGCGGCAGCAGCGUCCUUUCAGGAGUGAUUCCAGCAGUUCCCGAUGGCGUUCCGGCCAGUGGAGGGUGGCGCUCGACUCCUGGGACCACGGGCUUCCCAUCCUGACCAACGGUGCUCCAUUCCAUGGAGUUUUUUGGCGAGUUUCGAAGAGAGAUAAAGAAGAGAGAGAAAAUGAUGGCAGCCAAUUUUCGACUAGUUUUCCGGCUAUCCGACUGUUGGAUCGGAAAUUCGAGACUACCAAUGGACUCGGGACAACAAGAUCUUCGAGAUAGAAUCAAUCUCACUCCGAUCAGAUAUCGUUUGAAAAAUGCCAUAAUCGGACAAUCCAGAUUUCUUGGUGCAAUGGGAUCGAGGAUAACUCACCGGCGCCUGGAUCGCAUUUUCAGUUAGAUCCGACUGUCCGACGGCUC
rnacentral:misc_RNA from 1 species